UACGGGGGGAGCAAGCGUUGUUCGGAUUUACUGGGCGUAAAGGGCGCGUAGGCGGUCAGCACAAGUCAGUUGUGAAAUCUCCGGGCUUAACUCGGAAAGGUCAACUGAUACUGUGCGACUAGAGUGCGGAAGGGGCAACUGGAAUUCUCGGUGUAGCGGUGAAAUGCGUAGAUAUCGAGAGGAACACCUGCGGCGAAGGCGGGUUGCUGGGCCGACGCUGACGCUGAGGCACGAAAGCGUGGGGAGCAAACAGG
rnacentral:rRNA from 1 species